rnacentral:rRNA from 1 species
GAUGAACGCUGGCGGCGUGCCUAAUACAUGCAAGUCGAGCGAACAGACGAGGAGCUUGCUCCUCUGACGUUAGCGGCGGACGGGGGAGUAACACGUGGAUAACCUACCUAUAAGACUGGGAUAACUUCGGGAAACCGGAGCUAAUACCGGAUAAUAUAUUGAACCGCAUGGUUCAAUAGUGAAAGACGGUUUUGCUGUCACUUAUAGAUGGAUCCGCGCCGCAUUAGCUAGUUGGUAAGGUAACGGCUUACCAAGGCAACGAUGCGUAGCCGACCUGAGAGGGUGAUCGGCCACACUGGAACUGAGACACGGUCCAGACUCCUACGGGAGGCAGCAGUAGGGAAUCUUCCGCAAUGGGCGAAGGCCUGACGGAGCAACGCCGCGUGAGUGAUGAAGGUCUUCGGAUCGUAAAACUCUGUUAUUAGGGAAGAACAAAUGUGUAAGUAACUAUGCACGUCUUGACGGUACCUAAUCAGAAAGCCACGGCUAACUACGUG